rnacentral:rRNA from 1 species
AGUGAACGCUGGCGGUAGGCCUAACACAUGCAAGUCGAACGGCAGCACAGAGGAGCUUGCUCCUUGGGUGGCGAGUGGCGGACGGGUGAGGAAUACAUCGGAAUCUACUCUGUCGUGGGGGAUAACGUAGGGAAACUUACGCUAAUACCGCAUACAACCUACGGGUGAAAGCAGGGGACCUUCGGGCCUUGCGCGAUUGAAUGAGCCGAUGUCGGAUUAGCUAGUUGGCGGGGUAAAGGCCCACCAAGGCGACGAUCCGUAGCUGGUCUGAGAGAGUGAUCAGCCAAACUGGAACUGAGACACGGUACAGACUCCUACGGGAGGCAGCAGUGGGGAAUAUUGGACAAUGGGCGCAAGCCUGAUCCAGCCAUACCGCGUGGGUGAAGAAGGCCUUCGGGUUGUAAAGCCCUUUUGUUGGGAAAGAAAUCCAGCUGGCUAAUACCCGGUUGGGAUGACGGUACCCAAAGAAUAAGCACCGGCUAACUUCGUGCCAGCCGCCGCGGUAA